rfam:Schistosoma rodhaini strain Burundi genome assembly, scaffold: SROB_scaffold0005955
AUCCAGCUGACGAGUCCCAACUAGGACGAAACGCACAUUCUAGAU